rnacentral:tRNA from 3 species
GGCCCCGUCGUUCAACGGAUAGGACUUCAGUUUCCUAAACUGACUAUGCAGGUUCGAUUCCUGCCGGGGCUACCA